UUAAUCGUGGCCGAGUGGUUAAGGCGUCUGAUUAGAAAUCAGGUUCCCUCUGGGAGCGUAGGUUCGAGUCCUACCGACUGCGAGUUAAG
rnacentral:tRNA from 1 species